CACGUAGGGCGCAAGCGUUGUCCGGAAUUAUUGGGCGUAAAGAGCUCGUAGGCGGUGUGUCACGUCGUUCGUGAAAACCUGCAGCUUAACUGUGGGCGUGCGGUCGAUACGGGCAUCACUGGAGUUCGGCAGGGGAGACUGGAAUUCCUGGUGCAGCGGUGAAAUGCGCAGAUAUCAGGAGGAACACCGGUGGCGAAGGCGACUACCUGGCCUGUUCUUGACGCUGAGGCGCGAAAGCUAGGGGAGCAAACGGG
rnacentral:rRNA from 1 species